rnacentral:rRNA from 1 species
AUGGCUCAGAGCGAACGUUAGCGGCAGGCCUAACACAUGCAAGUCGAGCGCGAAAGUCUUCGGAUGAGUAAGCGGCGAACGGGUGAGUAAUGCAUGGGAAUCUGCCUGGUAGUGGGGGACAACGUCUCGAAAGGGACGCUAAUACCGCAUACGCCCUACGGGGGAAAGGGGGGAUCUUCGGACCUCUCGCUAUCAGAUGAGCCCAUGUCAGAUUAGCUAGUUGGUGAGGUAAAGGCUCACCAAGGCGACGAUCUGUAACUGGUCUGAGAGGAUGAUCAGUCACACUGGAACUGAGACACGGUCCAGACUCCUACGGGAGGCAGCAGUGGGGAAUAUUGGACAAUGGGGGCAACCCUGAUCCAGCCAUGCCGCGUGUGUGAAGAAGGCCCUAGGGUUGUAAAGCACUUUCAGUGGGGAGAAAGGUUAUUCACCUAAUACGUGAGUAGAUUGAUGUUACCCACAGAAGAAGCACCGGCUAACUCCGUG